rnacentral:misc_RNA from 1 species
AACGCACGAGACCUGCGGACCUGCGGAGGGAUCAUUACCGAAUGGCCUCUGGGCCUUCACAAACCCCAUCAAACCUGUGGACCUCUCAGAGAGAGCGUGCUUCGGCGUCCCCUCGGCUCUGCCCGAGGGACGCCGCCUUCAUGCAGAUAGAUCGUCUUGUCUGAUUUUGAAACCAUGAGAAUUUAAAACUUUCAACAAUGGAUCUCU